rnacentral:rRNA from 1 species
CCCAGACAGCCAGGAUGUUGGCUUAGAAGCAGCCAUCAUUUAAAGAAAGCGUAAUAGCUCACUGGUCGAGUCGGCCUGCGCGGAAGAUGUAACGGGGCUAAACCAUGCACCGAAGCUGCGGCAGCGAACGUAUCACUUAAAGCGAUUCAGCGGGUUACGAUUGACGGAGCGAAGCGACGUCAAAGCGUAUACAAAGUCGAGUCGGUUUAAGGAUACGUUCGUUGGGUAGGGGAGCGUUCUGUAAGCCUGYGAAGGUGKSYYGUGAGGSWUGCUGGAGGUAUCAGAAGUGCGAAUGCUGACAUAAGUAACGAUAAAGCGGGUGAAAAGCCCGCUCGCCGGAAGACCAAGGGUUCCUGUCCAACGUUAAUCGGGGCAGGGUGAGUCGACCCCUAAGGCGAGGCCGAAAGGCGUAGUCGAUGGGAAACGGGUUAAUAUUCCCGUACUUGGUGUUACUGCGAAGGGGGGACGGAGAAGGCUAUGUUGGCCGGGCGACGGUUGUCCCGGUUUAAGCGUGUAGG